AACCAACCCAUGUCACCUGAGUCAACUCGGUCUACCGGUUCUCCUGGAAGGAAUUGGAUCUCUUCUAGUAGAAUUCAUCAAGAGGGAUCUUCUCCACUUCAUCCUUGUUCUACAUCCGAGGGUUCCUUAUCAGGUAUAGUAGGAAAUGAACUGGGUAUGGACAUGAUGAGAAUAUCACGAAUGAGUUCUGAGGAAAGGUCUGCUAACUUGGAUGAAAGGAGCAUGGAUUCAGUUGUCAACCNNNNNNNNNUCACCUCCUAGAAAGGAAGUUCCGAAUGGUGUUAGAGCUGAUGAACAUAUGACUCAGAGCCACAGUAGAAAUGCCUCAGCCUCCAGUGUUGCUAAUGCAAAUUUUUCUCAAGGAGUUCAUGCAGAUGCUAAUGAGUGUUCAGAGAUGUCAAACCAUCUUACUUCCUAUAGCAGUGAUACUUCAGGGGAGGUAAAAGCAGAGCCACAGGCUUCUACUACUUUGAACGCCCCUCACAGAGAACCUGAGUUCCCACUCCGUUUGGUUGAGACACGGUCUCGAAGUCAAACUUUCUGGCGGCGGCCGUCAGAUAGGCUUGUUCCAAGGAUAGUUUCU
rnacentral:misc_RNA from 1 species